ACUAGGUUACAAAAAGACAGGGAGUACCCGUGCUUGCACGUGGUACUCCCUGUCUUUUUAGGAACCGCCCAAUCAUGAGGAAGAAGCAAUUUGCGAAGCAAAUUAGCGGAUUCCGAAUGAUUGUAGGAUUGCGAGAGCGAAGCGAAGCAAUCCGUAGGUAU
rnacentral:sRNA from 1 species